GUCUCGAGUUCCCCAUUGACAUCCUUGCCGCCAUGAUGUCGGCAAUGACUCCGUUUUCAGUCACUAGGUUAACCAGCCUGUGUUGGCUUUGUGAUGGGACUCGACCUUUUAAUGAAUCGGGUUUCAGUCACUAGGUAACGUGGCUGCCUUGUAUUUGUGCUGGAAAUGACAUUUUCAAUCGGUGCCGCCAUGAUGUCGGCAAUGACUCCGUUUUCAGUCACUAGGUUAACCAGCCUGUGUUGGCUUUGUGAUGGGACUCGACCUUUUAAUGAAUCGGGUUUCAGUCACUAGGUAACGUGGCUGCCUUGUAUUUGUGCUGGAAAUGACAUUUUCAAUCGGGAAACCUACUGAACACAUGGUAGCAAAUUUGCUUCGAGUUUUGCUUAGUGAGGUGCUGACUAACUUGAAGAUCGAGUGAUGCUACCUCUCCAGAUGCUGAUAGUUAUCCAGAUGACAUGAUCGACAUCCAGAUGACUUGAUCGACUCCAAGAAUGGUGCUCAUCGUGUACCAUCCAUCCCCGGAUCGUUGAUGGAUCGGAAGUGGCAGAUGCCUCCCUGAAGUGCAGUCUCCCAAUAAACUAGAAAGCCUCGGGAUGUGCUUCGCAUUGCUUAUCGCAAGGCGAUGGGACUACUUGACUGGAGAGAUGCAGUUUACUUCUGAGCAUGAGGCGGUAGCGGUCAACUUGACUGGAGAGAUGCAGUUUACUCCUGAGCAUGAGGCGGUAGCGGUCAACUUGGUGGCUUGGUCUACUGCCGGUUCCAGAAAGCCUCCAUGGAGAAGAUGACUUGUAUCCUGCCCUUGAAAGCACCUCUAGCAAUAGUAAAAGGAGAAGAUGACUUGUAUCCUGCCCUUGAAAGCACCUCUAGAAAUAGUAAAAGGAUUUUGAGGAAGCGAAGGCCAUGUCAAAGGUGGAUGCCAAAUCGGAUUCAUUGGUUGAUUCUACUGGUGACUCAAGUCAACGCAGUGUUUCCCGUAGACCAAUGUUUGGCGCAGCAGUGAAGUGCGGUUAUAGUUUAUACAUUACGAUGUUGGCCCCCCAGGCCGUGAAUAGUGGAUCCAUUUGUCAAAAAGUUGAAAAAUGUUAAACUUUUUCGGCACCGACGGAUCCGUCAUCCAAUCAGAUCGCGUGUGCAAUGUCUCGGGCUCUUACGACCCCGGAAAGCUCCCCCAUCGCUCGACGUCCUUUGACUGACGGCGCAGUGGGCGUGAGGCGUUACCCCGCCACACAUUGUUACCUGGUCUGUGGGAAACGCUACAAAGAUUCAACAUGAAGUUGUGUUUAAUGUGAGUAUUUAAUAAAGAAAUGUCUCAUGGGUCAUCGUGAUGCAACAAAUGAUGACAACAUUCUGCCAAAUGAUUAAUAUGAUUAUAACCCUACCGUUCCAUAUAAAUCUGACUGUUGCUUCGUUUAAUAUAAAAUACAGCGUCGUUCUGGAUAACCCGAUGCUAAUGGUGUGUGUCCUUUCUCUAG